UUGAUGGCCUGAUCCCCUAUAAUGUUACACUCCUUUGGAAUUCUGUUCUUCAUGAGAGUUCCUGUACCUCCCAAGCAUUUCUCCAUCAUGGUGUCCAGGACAUUUGUAAAGAACCUGUCAAAAAACAGUGAAUACCUUCCUUCGUAAUUGAAAAUACAGAGAAAAAAAGAUUCUUCCAGUGAUCCCUACAGUACUGACUAGAUUUUCUUCAGCCAUGCCAUCCUAUAGCAUGUGUCCCUGGGUCCUGCUGUUAUCUGUGCUUAAGGUCAUAACCGGUAAGUUGACAGAAUGGCUUCUUUGUUUUCUAAAUGUUUCAGCUUGGUCCUAUUCUGUUGUAUUAUAAUCCAGUUUUAUAACUGUAUAUCUUUUGUGCUCAGCAUAGAAAACGGAGAACAUACCUGAGCAUAGAAAACAUUUAGUAAUUGGCAGAAUAUAA